rnacentral:rRNA from 1 species
UACAGAGGGUGCGAGCGUUAAUCGGAAUUACUGGGCGUAAAGCGCGCGUAGGCGGCUUUGCAAGUCGGGUGUGAAAUCCCCAGGCUUAACCUGGGAACUGCAUUCGAGACUGCAUUGCUAGAGUAUGGGAGAGGGAAGUGGAAUUUCCGGUGUAGCGGUGAAAUGCGUAGAUAUUCGGAGGAACACCAGUGGCGAAGGCGGCUCACUGGUCCAUUACUGACGCUGAGGUGCGAAAGCGUGGGGAGCAAACAGG